UGUGAUAUUGCCUUUUCAUUCUGUUUGUUAAUAGACCAAAACACUUCCCAAAACUGUUACCACCCGCUGCUAUCUUCAUUGGAGGGGAGACAAAGUGAAUCCCAAUAAAGGGCAGAUAAUUUUGAAGAUGAUGUCUUCACUGAAGAAUAAUUACCUUAAGAUUUUACUCACAUUCAUACUGAUAUAAAUGGAUCCAUGCAAGAACGGAACUGCUUCUACCUGUCAGUGGACCUAUUUCCUGGUGGGAUAAGUGAUUUCCCAGGCAAGCUAUAUACAGAUAAUGAACUGAGACAAGUAUGUUUUUCUGGGACAUACAAUCCAGUUUAGGCCUGCCUGAUAUCGUAGCUAUUCUGGUGUCUUCAGCACAGAAGUUUUUCCCUAAAGGCGCAACUCCUGUAGAAGUGAGACCCCUUCCACUGCCAAUACAAAGACAACAGCUGCCAGUAGCAGUGAGAUUCUUGCUGGGUUAUAUAUCUAUCUACUUCCUACGUGGGCACUAAGAUUUCUGAAUAAUGUUCUCCCAAAUGGUUGACCGGGAAUAAAAGGGUUCACAGUUAGAAGCAAAUGUCUAGAUCCUUUCCGCCAACAUGUGAAUGGAGGUGAUUUUUCACUGUCAUUUUCAGAGGAAAAUAUAUGCAUUAAAAAUACAAAGCACUUAAUUUUCAUAACCAAAAAUGCACAAUUUAAGCCUAAAUAAAUGUAAAAA